CCCAGGGAAACUUGGGAGUAAUACCGAUACGCCCUACGGGGGAAAGAUUAUAUCGCCUUGGGAUCGCCCCGCGUUGGAUUAGGUAGUUGGUGGGGUAAUGGCCUACCAAAGCUGACGAUCCCAUAGCUGGUUUGAGAGGUUGAUCAGCCACACUGGGAUUGAGACACGGCCCAGACUCUUACGGGAGGCAGCAGUGGGGAAUCUUCGACAAUGGGGGAAACCCUGAUCCAGCCAUGCCGCGUGAGCGAUGAAGGCCUUAGGGUUGUAAAGCUCUUUCACCGGGGAAGAAAAUGACGGUACCCGGAGAAGAAGCCCCGGCUAACUCCGUCCCAGCAGCCGCGGUAAUACGGAGGGGGCUAGCGUUGUUCGGAAUUACUGGGCGUAAAGCGCGCGUAGGCGGAUUGUUAAGUCGGGGGUGAAAUCCCGGGGCUCAACCCCGGAACUGCCUCCGAUACUCGCAAUCUAGAGUUCUGGAGAGGUGAGUGGAAUCCCGAAGUGUAGAGGUGAAAUUUGUAGAGUAUUCGGAGGAACACCAGUGGAGAAAGGCGGCUCACUC
rnacentral:rRNA from 1 species